rnacentral:rRNA from 1 species
UACGGAGGGAGCUAGCGUUGUUCGGAAUUACUGGGCGUAAAGCGCGCGUAGGCGGCUUUUUAAGUCAGGUGUGAAAUCCCGGGGCUCAACCCCGGAACUGCCCUUGAAACUGGAGAGCUAGAAUCUUGGAGAGGCGAGUGGAAUUCCGAGUGUAGAGGUGAAAUUCGUAGAUAUUCGGAAGAACACCAGUGGCGAAGGCGACUCGCUGGACAAGUAUUGACGCUGAGGUGCGAAAGCGUGGGGAGCAAACAGG